UCUUUUCUCUGGGAAGAUAAUGACGGUACCAGAGGAAUAAGCAUCGGCUAACUCCGUGCCAGCAGCCGCGGUAAUACGGAGGAUGCAAGCGUUAUCCGGAAUGAUUGGGCGUAAAGAGUCCGUAGGUGGUUGUGAAAGUCUGUGGUUAAAGCGCGAAGCUCAACUUCGUANAGGCCAUGGAAACUANGCGACUAGAGUNNGAUAGGGGUNGAGGGAAUUCUUGGUGUAGCGGUGAAAUGCGUAGAUAUCAAGAAGAACACCGGUGGCGAAAGCGCUCUACUGGAUCUUUACUGACACUNAGGGACGAAAGCUAGGGGAGCGAAANGGGAUUAGAUACCCC
rnacentral:rRNA from 1 species